UCUGGUAUGAAAGGUUUGACGAGAUAUUAACUGUUUCAUAAAAAUUUAUAAUAGAAUUUUAUUUUUUAGUCAAAAAGCUAAAAUAAUAUUAAAAGACGAGAAGACCCUAUAAAUCUUUAUACAUAGAUUAUUAGAAUUUCAUAGAUUUUUUUUGUUAUAAUAAUUAAUUGUAUUUUAUUGGGGUGAUAUUAAAAUUUAAUAAACUUUUAAUUUUAAAAAUCAUUAAUUUAUGAAUAAUUGAUCCGUUAAUAACGAUUAAAAAAAUAAGUUACCUUAGGGAUAACAGCGA
rnacentral:rRNA from 1 species